GGCUCAGGAUGAACGCUAGCGACAGGCUUAACACAUGCAAGUCGAGGGGCAGCGGGGGAGUAGCAAUACUCCCGCCGGCGACCGGCGCACGGGUGAGUAACACGUAUGAAACCUGCCCGUAGCAGGGGGGGAUAAGCGGAAGAAAUUCCGUCUAAUACCGCGUAACAACCCUUGGAGGCAUCUCCUCGGGUUUAAAGGAAGCGAUUCCGGCUACGGAUGGUCAUGCGUCGCAUUAGCUGGUUGGCGGGGUAACGGCCCACCAAGGCGACGAUGCGUAGGGGUUCUGAGAGGAAGGUCCCCCACACUGGUACUGAGACACGGACCAGACUCCUACGGGAGGCAGCAGUGAGGAAUAUUGGUCAAUGGCCGCAGGGCUGAACCAGCCAAGUCGCGUGAGGGAUGACGGUCCUAUGGAUUGUAAACCUCUUUUGUCAGGGAGCAAAGGGCGCCACGUGUGGCGCUUUGCGAGUACCUGAAGAAAAAGCAUCGGCUAACUCCGUGCCAGCAGCCGCGGUAAUACGGAGGAUGCGAGCGUUAUCCGGAUUUAUUGGGUUUAAAGGGUGCGCAGGCGGAAUGUCAAGUCAGCGGUAAAAUUUCGGGGCUCAACCCCGUCGUGCCGUUGAAACUGGCGUUCUUGAGUGAGCGAGAAGUAUGCGGAAUGCGUGGUGUAGCGGUGAAAUGCAUAGAUAUCACGCAGAACUCCGAUUGCGAAGGCAGCAUACCGGCGCUCAACUGACGCUCAUGCACGAAAGCGUGGGUAUCGAACAGGAUUAGAUACCCUGGUAGUCCACGCAGUAAACGAUGAAUA
rnacentral:rRNA from 1 species